rnacentral:rRNA from 1 species
UGAGCGGCGGACGGGUUAGUAACGCGUGGGAACAUACCCUUUGGUACGGAAUAGCCUCUGGAAACGGAGAGUAAUACCGUAUGAGCCCUUCGGGGGAAAGAUUUAUCGCCAAAGGAUUGGCCCGCGUUAGAUUAGGUAGUUGGUGGGGUAAUGGCCUACCAAGCCUACGAUCUAUAGCUGGUUUUAGAGGAUGAUCAGCAACACUGGGACUGAGACACGGCCCAGACUCCUACGGGAGGCAGCAGUGGGGAAUCUUGGACAAUGGGGGCAACCCUGAUCCAGCCAUGCCGCGUGAGUGAUGAAGGCCUUAGGGUCGUAAAGCUCUUUCGCCUGUGAAGAUAAUGACGGUAGCAGGUAAAGAAACCCCGGCUAACUCCGUGCCAGCAGCCGCGGUAAUACGGAGGGGGUUAGCGUUGUUCGGAAUUACUGGGCGUAAAGCGCACGUAGGCGGACUGGAAAGUUGGGGGUGAAAUCCCAGGGCUCAACCCUGGAACUGCCUCCAAAACUAUCAG